rfam:Treponema denticola ATCC 35405, complete genome.
GGAGUGGUGCGAGAGCGGCCGAAUCGGGCUCCCUGCUAAGGAGUUGUACCCUUACGGGUACCGGGGGUUCGAAUCCCCCCUACUCCG